AGUGAGACUGCGGGCGACAAGGUUCGUAGUCGAGAGGGAAACAGCCCAGACCGUCAGCUAAGGUCCCUAAAUAACGCUAAGUGUGAAAUGAUGUGUGAUUGCGAAGACAGCCAGGAGGUUGGCUUAGAAGCAGCCAUUCCUUAAAAGAGUGCGUAAUAGCUCACUGGUCGAGUAAUGAUGCGCAGACAAUGUAACGGGGCUAAGCGGUAUACCGAAGCUACGGAUUCAGUACGUAAAUGUUGGAUGGUAGGGGAGCAUUCCAUGGACCGAAGAAGGUAAACUGUAAGGUAUGCUGGAGGGGAUGGAAGAGAGAAUGCAGGUAUAAGUAGACGAAAAGACGGGUGAGAUUCCCGUCCGCCGAAAGCAUAAGGAUUCCUGGGUAAAGGUCAUCUGCCCAGGGUAAGUCGGCCCCUAAGGUGAGGACGAAAGUCGUAAUCGAUGGGAAACUGGUUCAGAUUCCAGUACCUUAUUAAGUUUUGAGGGGAUGACGCAUGAGGUGAAACCCGGCCGGGCGACGGUUGUCCCGGUCAAAGCAGUGAGUUGAUGAUUCCGGCAGGCAAAUCCAACUGGGAGAGAUGAGCUGUGACAGCGAGUGGAACUACGGUGAAGCGAAGCGGGCGUAAUCAAGGUGCCAAGAAAUAAUCUCUAAGGUUAGGCUUAUAAGACCGUACCGUAAACCGACACAGGUAUGCGGGAUGAGCAAUCUAAGGCGCUCGAGAGAACUCGCGUUAAGGAACUCGGCAAAAUACAUACGUAACUUCGGGAGAAGUAUGACCAUCUUUGGUUUAGCAAUAAGUUAAGGGUGGUGGCACAGAGCAGUCCCAGGCGACUGUUUAUCAAAAACACAGGC
rnacentral:rRNA from 1 species